GACGAACGCUGGCGGCGUGCCUAAUACAUGCAAGUAGAACGCACAGUUUAUAUGGUAGCUUGAUACACCAUAGACUGUGAGUUGCGAAUGGGUGAGUAGCGCGUAGGUAACCUGCCUGGUAGCGGGUGAUAACUAUUGGACACGUUAGCUAAUACCGCAUAAUAUUAAUUAUUGCAUGAUAAUUAAUUGAAAUGUGCAAUUGCACCACUACCAGAUGGUCCUGCGUUGUAUUAGCUAGUAGGUGAGGUAACGGCUCACCUAGGCGACGAUACAUAGCCGACCUGAGAGGGUGAUCGGCCACAUUGGGACUGAGACACGGCCCAAACUCCUACGGGAGGCAGCAGUAGGGAAUCUUCGGCAAUGGACGAAAGUCUGACCGAGCAACGCCGCGUGAGUGAAGAAGGUUUUCGGAUCGUAAAGCUCUGUUGUAAGAGAAGAACGGGUGUGAGAGUGGAAAGUUCACAAUGUGACGGUAUCUUACCAGAAAGGGACGGCUAACUACGUG
rnacentral:rRNA from 1 species